rnacentral:lncRNA from 1 species
GGGGCUUUAAGACAAGGCUGGACAAUCAUCUUGCUGGGGUCGUGUGACCCCUGUAUUCUUUCCUGCCAUGGCAGGGGGUUGGACUUGAUGAUCUGGUCAGGUCCCUUCCGACCCUAUAAACUAUGAAACAAACUGAAACUAUGAAAUCAAAAUGUCAUUGUCUGGUAAAUGCGAUGCUAAAUGCCAACAACACUGAGUACGAGUCUGAGCUGACCCUACGGCACCAGGGAGACUACGAGCAGGGGAGGUGCUCCUGCCACAAGGAGAUGGUGAAGAGCUCCGUCUGCAAUAGCGCCGUGCCCAAUGAGUUCUUUGCUUGUCUGAACAACCGGAGUGACAUAUUAAGGAGGAACACUGAUAAAAUGCUGAGGAAGAAGUUGCUGCCGGCUUGGGACAGGCUGCAGCAGCAUGUAGUGGCACUUGGGGUAAUAGCUGAUGCUGUGGACAAAGUUCACAGAGAAGCCACAAUAGCAAAUGUUGCUGGAGGGAGAGCGGGCAUCACGGGCAAGAUCACCCACAUUGUGGCACGCUGUCUCGUCCCUGAGACCUUUGUUGCAUGUCUGAUGCUCUCCAGCAGACAGCUUGUCAUCUAUGUAGUAGGCAGUGUGAUGGAUGCAGCAGUGACUGUCUCCGACAUAACACUGGGGAGUCAAGCCAAGAAGAGGGAGAGAGGCAGGCUCCAAGACAAUGGUCAGGCUGUGCUGAAGCAAAUCCAGAAGUGCAUAAAACAGCUGUCUAACACAACAGGAUUCAGAAAGCAAUUUUGAUCAUGAUCUGCUGCUUAUGAUCCUGCAAAUUGGGGCAGGAGCAAGGUGGACCACUCUCAACACCGUGAAGAUGUUCAAAGGUGGAACGUGGCUGAGUGAUGCCAGCUACGUCGCGAGAUUCGCAGGAGCUAACGUGCGUCCUGAUAGCCCUGAAAACCUGAUCUAUCUUCUGUGUAGUCAAGAACCUCAAAGGCACCAAAAGAGCUGAGAUCUGAGAGACAGUUGCUGAACUGGAGCGAGUGAUUUACUAAGCCGACCGCAUGUAUGAGGCACUGAUUGGAAAGAAACUCAGAUGAUGCAGCACUGUUGCCGGGUGCCAGCACCGGUGAGGUUGCAGCCCUGCACUUUGUGCCCCACCAUCAGCACAGAAAGCUAGGGGGCAUGUGCCCCCCACGCAUCACGUAUGGAGAGAGACCAGAACCAAACCCUGAGGAAUAAUAAUGGGCCUGAGCAUCCAUCUCCAACAGCUGCAGCUUGCAUUAAAGGGACUCGGGACCUCACCCGACACUGUGCGUAUGACUAGCAAGAACGUGCAGACAGUGCCCAUCCUGCAGGCCUCAGACAUGGGCAGUAUCUGAAAGGCCACGAUGGUAAGAAAUCCUCCCUUCCAGAAAUGUAUCUUGCCCCGGGACAUCAAUCCCAGCUAACUGGCACCUUCCCAGUGCAGAGGAAACCUGGUUCGGGCCCAUUCACAAACAUCAGUGAAACCAAGAAAUGUGACUUAAACCCAUCCGAAAACACUUCUGAGACUGUUAGCCAGCUGUGAACGCAGGGGAUAGACUGGAGGGAAAAGUAGAGAGCUCUGCAAAUGCAGGAAGGCUGCCUUAUGAUCUGUGCCGGCUUCUUCCUGGGUCUCAGGGUCCUUGCUGAUUCUUGUACCAGGACCAAUAAAAGCUCAAGCUACAGACCUGUCUCUUGGCUC